rnacentral:rRNA from 1 species
AGAGAUGUGUGAUGACGCAUAUCAAUAAGCGGAGGAAAAGAAACUAACAAGGAUUCCCUUAGUAACGGCGAGUGAAGCGGGAAGAGCUCAAAUUUGAAAUCUUCAAGGUUCUACCUUGACGAAUUGUAGUUUAUAGAAGUGUUUUCUGUUAGUGGAGUGGCAAAAGUUCUUUGGAAUAGGACAUCAUAGAGGGUGAGAAUCCCGUAUUUGGUCAUUCCUCCUAGCGUUGUGAUACACUUUCAACGAGUCGGAUUGUUUGGGAAUGCAGUCCAAAAUGGGUGGUAAAUUUCAUCUAAAGCUAAAUAUUGGCGAGAGACCGAUAGCGAACAAGUACCGUGAGGGAAAGAUGAAAAGAACUUUGAAAAGAGAGUUAAACAGUACGUGAAAUUGUCAAAAGGGAAGCGUUUGACACCAGUGUUGUUUUUCCGAAAAUCAAUUACGAAUGUUUUGUUUUUAAGAAGUUAUGACUUCAUCGGCUUGCUCCUUUCUUUAUGAAACUUUCUUAAUGCACUUUUCGGUUAACAAGUCAACAUCAAUUUCUUUUGUUGUAAAAGGGUAUGAGGAAGGUGGCUUUCUUUUCGGAGAAAGUGUUUAUAGCCUUGUACCUCUGCAAUCGGAGAGAUUGAGGUCUGCAGCGUAGAUCCUUCGGGGUUAGAUACAUUUGUGCUAAGUUAUAGCUUUUCAUAGACAACUUGUUGACUAUGUUCAGUCUUGUAGCUUACUCGCUUACUGCUAUUUUACCUACGCUUAGGAUGUUGAACUCUAUCACACACA